rnacentral:rRNA from 1 species
UCAUUGGGUGCAAAACCUAAAGGCGUAAUGAAAGUGUCCCGGGGUGCCUCUCAUGAAUGCGCCCCGUCGGGAGGAUGGGCCGCCGUACGAUUACUCGUCGGAGCCCCGCACUCCCGGGGCGUCUCGUUCUCAUUACGAGUGGAGACGCACCAGGAGCGCACACGCUGGUACCCGAAAGAUGGUGAACUAUGCCUGGCCAGGACGAAGCCAGGGGAAACCCUGGUGGAGGUCCGAAGCGAUUCUGACGUGCAAAUCGAUCGUCUGAGCUGGGUAUAGCGGC